ACUAGGGAUGCCAACGGGUCGGAUUCGGGACCGAUUUUUAAAAAUCAAAAUCUGAACCAAAACCUAAAUCCGACAAAUUUUAAAAAUUCAUACCUAAAUCGGAAUCCGACCAAACAUUCGAAACUUGAACCUGCCACAAUUAUUUAUUUUUACAACAUUUCAAAACAUAUUAAUAUAAAAUUUUAAUUUUUAAAAUACAAAUUCAAAUAUAACAAUAAAUAUUUAUAUACAUAUACAUAUAUAAUAAUGUAAAAUCAAUUCAGGUUCAGGUCGGGUUCUGAUUCGAGUCAGGUAUAGUAAUAUUUAUAUUCAAAUUUAAAUUCGUCGUAUUCUUAUUUUUGAUAUUCAUAUAUGAAAAUAUCUGUUUAGCACUGAGUAUAUCUGCUCAAUUCGG
rnacentral:lncRNA from 1 species